rnacentral:misc_RNA from 1 species
GAUGAACGCAGCGAAAUGCGAUAAGUAGUGUGAAUUGCAGAAUUCAGUGAAUCAUCGAAUCUUUGAACGCACAUUGCGCCCCUCGGUAUUCCGUGGGGCAUGCCUGUUCGAGCGUCAUUACAACCCUCAGGCCCCCGGGCCUGGCGUUGGGGAUCGGCGGAAGCCCCCUGCGGGCACAACGCCGUCCCCCAAAUACAGUGGCGGUCCCGCCGCAGCUUCCAUUGCGUAGUAGCUAACACCUCGCAACUGGAGAGCGGCGCGGCCACGCCGUAAAACACCCAACUUCUGAAUGUUGACCUCGAAUCAGGUAGGAAUACCCGCUGAACUUAAGCAUAUCAAUAAGCGGAGGA